CCUACGGGGAGCAGCAGUGGGGGAUAUUGCACAAUGGGGGAAACCCUGAUGCAGCGACGCCGCGUGGGUGAAGAAGUAUUUCGGUAUGUAAAGCCCUAUCAGCAGGGAAGAAAGAAGACGGUACCUGACUAAGAAGCCCCGGCUAACUACGUGCCAGCAGCCGCGGUAAUACGUAGGGGGCGAGCGUUAUCCGGAUUCACUGGGUGUAAAGGGAGCGUAGACGGCCGUGCAAGCCAGGAGUGAAAGCCCGGGGCCCAACCCCGGGACUGCUCUUGGAACUGUGCGGCUGGAGUGCGGGAGGGGCAGGCGGAAUUCCUGGUGUAGCGGUGAAAUGCGUAGAUAUCAGGAGGAACACCGGCGGCGAAGGCGGCCUGCUGGACCGCGACUGACGUUGAGGCUCGAAAGCGUGGGGAGCGAACAGGAUUAGAUACCCGAGUAGUC
rnacentral:rRNA from 1 species